AUAAAGACAUUGAUGGAGAAAAGUAAUUGAUGAUUUUUAAUUAAGGGAGAAAAUGCCGCAGACUGUAAGCAUUUUUAUUAAAAACAUGAAUGAAGUUCACCUCCUGAGUCGGCAUCGGGACCAUUUUUCUUGUUUUAGAAAGAUGUAAAGAUGUACCGGUAUAGACUACCGUUAUCCAAAUGAAGUGAACUUGUUUUUAUUAUACAUACAAGUUAAUUAGGGUGGUACCGCGACAAUAACCUCGUCCCUUUU
rnacentral:ncRNA from 1 species